AUUGAACGCUGGCGGCAGGCCUAACACAUGCAAGUCGAACGAGUGGCGGACGGGUGAGCAAUGUCUGGGAAACUGCCUGAUGGAGGGGGAUAACUACUGGAAAAGGUAGCUAAUACCGCAUACCAUCGGAUGUGCCCAGAUGGGAUUAGCUAGUAGGGGGGGUAAAGGCUCACCUAGGCGACGAUCCAUAGCUGGUCUGAGAGGAUGACCGGCCACACUGGAACUGAGACACGGUCCAGACUCCUAGGGGAGGCAGCAGUGGGGAAUAUUGCACAAUGGGCGCAAGCCUGAUGCAGCCAUGCCGCGUAUAUGAAGAAGGCCUUCGGGUUGUAAAGUCCUUUCAUCGGGGAGGCGUUACCCGCCGAAGAAGCACCGGCUAACUCCGUGCCAGCAGCCGCGGUAAUUC
rnacentral:rRNA from 1 species